CAGGUAAGGACAUAUGAAUACAAGUAUGUACAGGUUUGAGUAGGUGUGUACAGGUAAGGAAAUGUGUGUCCAGCUGUGUACAGAUGUGGUGUGUAGAGGUACAGGGUGAACUGGUGUUAACUGGUAUGUUUGUACAGGUGUGUUCAGGUGUGUGUUCAGGUGUGUACAGGUGUGUUCCGCUGUGUUCAGGUGUGCAUGUGUGUUCAGUUGUGUACAGGUGUGUAUACAAGUGUGCAUGAGUGUGUUCAGGUGUGUACAUGUGUGU